CUUCGUAACUUGUUCCAUCUUUAGACAAACUGAAAUGUCUUCAAUACCAAACUGCGUGUUCCUCGGUCAGUUGGUUGAAGAUCCCAUCCUCGUCGCCAAUAACUCUGUUGUGUUCUUGGGUUUGUAUUGAGACGCCAAAUCGUACAGUGAAACGCUGGAAUAGCGAAUGAAACGCUCGAAUAGCGAAUGAAAACUAAGGCGACCACACACGUAUAUAUAGGGCACUUAAUUGCGACAUAGCGACACAAAUAACUACAUAGCUACACAAUUAAUAAUGAAUCACGCUGACUGCGGCACAUUGCGCAGUGCAAAUCACGUGACUAAGGCAUGCAAGUGCGAACCACGCUGAUUGCGGCACAUUUCGCAGAUCACGUGGCUACGGCAUGCAAGUGCGCCCUUGUCGGGGGUGUGCCCGGAGGCGUGUCCACAACACCUCUUAACCGAAGAUAAAAUCUCUCGUGGGUAGUUCGUCGCUGUAGUGUUCGGACUGUCUGGAACGUGCACUUCUGGAGACGGAGCUUGCAGAAAAUGCUCUUCUUCCACCGGUUGUAAAUCAUCGUCGGAGCCGUAUCGAACGCGAAGUUGGUCGAUGUGACGGCGCCAGAUUGGACCUCGGGGAAAAACUUGUUUUAGGAACCCAGCGACCCUCGGUUUUCGCUCUUUGGAGCUGCACGGUAUAAAAUGGUGGCGCUGUUCUCGUUUAUGUUUGUUAUACUCACUCUAUGUUACGUCGCCUUUUUUUCUCCCGUUUUGUUCACUCGUGUAACCGUUUAGUUUGACCUUUUUAUGAGUGACGGGACGGCAGGCAGAUCCCUAUUUUAGCCACUCCAAUUCAUUGCAGUUACCGCUAUUAUGCUUUGGAAAAUAUAAGUUGAAGCCAGAA